GGAGGGUGCUAGCGUUGUUCGGAAUGACUGGGCGUAAAGGGCGCGUAGGCGGCCGGUUGCGUCGGAUGUGAAAGCCCGGGGCUCAACCCCGGAACGGCAUCCGAUACGGGCUGGCUUGAGACCGAGAGAGGUGAGUGGAAUACCCAGUGUAGAGGUGAAAUUCGUAGAUAUUGGGUGGAACACCGGUGGCGAAAGCGGCUCACUGGCUCGGUUCUGACGCUGAGGCGCGAAAGCGUGGGGAGCAAACAGGAUUAGAUACCCUGGUAGUCCACGCCCUAAACGAUGUGGGCUGGGCGUCGGGGGGCUUGCCCCUCGGUGCCGGAGCUAACGCGGUAAGCCCACCGCCUGGGGAGUACGGCCGCAAGGUUAAA
rnacentral:rRNA from 1 species